AUGCACGCUGGCGGCGUGCCUAAUACAUGCAAGUCGAGCGAACGGACGAGAAGCUUGCUUCUCUGAUGUUAGCGGCGGACGGGUGAGUAACACGUGGAUAACCUACCUAUAAGACUGGGAUAACUUCGGGAAACCGGAGCUAAUACCGGAUGAUAUUUUGAACCGCAUGGUUCAAAAGUGAAAGACGGUCUUGCUGUCACUUAUAGAUGGAUCCGCGCUGCAUUAGCUAGUUGGUAAGGUAACGGCUUACCAAGGCAACGAUGCAUAGCCGACCUGAGAGGGUGAUCGGCCACACUGGAACUGAGACACGGUCCAGACUCCUACGGGAGGCAGCAGUAGGGAAUCUUCCGCAAUGGGCGAAAGCCUGACGGAGCAACGCCGCGUGAGUGUUGAAGGUCUUCGGAUCGUAAAACUCUGUUAUUAGGGAAGAACAUAUGUGUAAGUAACUGUGCACAUCUUGACGGUACCUAAUCAGAAAGCCACGGCUAACUACGUG
rnacentral:rRNA from 1 species